rnacentral:lncRNA from 12 species
UUGCAGCUCACAGUAAGUACUGGUUCACACAGUUCGUUCUCUGGGUGCUCACUCUCUUUCUCUUUCUCCACAGGCAACGGCUGGGACACACAGGCACAGUUAGUUCAGCUUGGUUUUGCUCUCACCUCUUCGCUGAUUACAGCUCACAGUAAGUACUGGUUCACACAGUUCGUUCCUUGGGUGCUCACUCGCUUUCUCUUUCUCCACAGGCAGCGGCGUAAGUACAGGUUUCCUCGGUCUCUCCUCGUGUUACCCACUCUCUCUCCUUUUCUCUCCACAGGUAUCAACUUGGACACAAAGCACAGUUACUCUGCUUUGGAUGGCUUUCACCUCUGGGCUGGACACAGCGUACCGUGCUAUCUCCGGAGAUCUGAAGCACGCUCACAACAUAUACUGUACUGAACUAGGCUAGGACCAGCAGUCUCCUUGUCCUCCCGCGACGAAGUGCGUGAAGGCGGGGGUUUAUCUGACAGGACACACGGCAAUACACAGCAGCCCACAGCAAUAUACAACACCACGUCAAAAUUAUAGGUUUUCACAGCACGAAGACUCACCCACCACACUCAGUGUACGAAAAGGACACCCGUCUUCCUUCACUUCGCUUGGUUCGGAUCUGGCGAUGGAAUAUGCGGCCUAGCUAGUGAUGUCGUCGUUGUGACUACUUCAAUAAGUAUUCCUUCGGCUCUCCCACCACGCUAUAUUAGGGGUAGGGCCGCCCUCCUCCUCCUGGAGAGAUCUACACAACGCCAGGUCAAUAUACAGGGCACUUUCGACUGGCUCUUAGUACUCACAUCAAUGCCGCUUCCAAUCCCCUUUUUCACGUCGUCUCAGUUCGCCGUAUAAUCCGUUCACUUCUCAACCUUUAAGGUUCGCGAUGUCUUCACAAUCAUACAAUUCCAGCCUGAGGGAGAGAGAGAGUUAGACAGCCACCAGCAGCGCACCAAGACGGGCACAACACAGUGCUUCACACACACCAGAAAGAGCUCCCAGACUGUGAAAUAACUUGGCCUUAAGUACUGCCUUGUCCAGCGUAUCCUCCAAUCACCAACCGCUGUCCCUAACUAGGCACAGGUGCAUCGAAUUCCCUGAUUUUCCUUCUUACGGCGCUACCGGAAGUUCCGGUGUUCUGUUUUUCCGGUCCGGGCGGAAACACUUCCGGGCGGAACCAAACUUCCCGAAUUUUGGUUCCGCCCCUAAAGAUCGUCACCUUGUGACAAACACACAAAUAAAACUGCUAGAAACAGUCCCAUUGCAAGCCAUACGGGCAUUUUCAGGUAAGAAUUAACAAUAUAAAACCCAAAUGCCAGGAUAAUCAGCCAGACAAGCACAACUAAAGGCAGUUUCAUCUUAGGGGUUUUUGUGUAUUUCAGGUAAACCAGUGGAUGGACCACAGCCAGGUAUCGCUCCACACAGAAGUAGGUUUGAAAGAGCGGUCGACCCACCAGAUAUGUACUGCACAGGAAAAUAGAGAUAAGAAUAAGAGCUUUCUUAUUAAGCAAAGCACCUAAGACAAAAGUAAUGAGAAAAACCCCAUUAAUGACCUCAGCAACAGACUGAUUCAAAAUGACAAAGUCUGAGGACGCGACACUUCUCGUCACCAGCCACAGAAUCCAGCAGUUCACAGGCAAGAAAAUGACGGUAUUGAACAGUAAGCUGAUGGCAGUGAGAAUAUUUCCCGGAUAAGAGUCCAUGCACUCAUAAAAUGGAUCAUCAGAAAAGUUCCUUUUAAAUCGGAGGGUGCAGUUGGAUAAAUCCAUAGUGUUGUUCAAGUUAUUUUAUUUUCUGUGUGGAAUAUGUGUUAAAUUAAGUCAGUUCAUAAGUUUAUAUCAAAUACAUUAAUGGUUAAAUUGCAUUAUUAAUCCUAUAGGCAAUAGGCGAAAUUUAAAAAAUACAGCAUCUUCAUGAUAAAGCAUACACCACAACAACAUACUCCAAAAACUUCACAAUCUGUGAUAGAUGUUUGAUAUUUCAAAUAGAAAAUAAAAUCAAUUCACAUACUCACACAUGUAUAUCUGUGCAGUCUGUAAGGGUGUUGUGAGGAUACAGUGUGUAGAAAUACAGUACAUGUCUGUGUGAUAGCCACUCCUCUCAUCCAUAUUAAAAGAGGGCUGUGAAGAAACUGGAGAAGAACAUAUAGAAUAAUUUUGCAUUGUUUACCUAUAGAUACAUGAAAAAAAAAAAAAAAAAUUGUUGUUUGGUACUAGAAAUAAUAUAGUCUUAAUUUUGCUUUGCUCAACCAAAUUUAAGCACAUUUUUUCCACUUUGAAGGUUUAAAUAAAAAGAGAGGCGCAUAGUUGCAAACCCUUCAGAGAUGGUACAGAUAUAAUGAAGAACUGAAGAGUUGUUUUAAAAAGUUUAUUAUGUGUAAACUGAACAUGACAUGCUGCAUUAUGUACAGUAAUUUACAUCAUUUCUGCAUUAUUAUACAGUUCUCAUAGGUUGCUAACUCUAUAGAAUAAAUGUUUUAAUGUUUUAGCCUAAUUUCUACAUUACAUAAAGCACAAUAUUAAGUGAAAUGUAGACUGCUGCAUGCAAAUCCUUCAGUAGCACUAGCAAUGUUUUCAAAACAGAUGUUGAUGUAUGAAGUAAUUCCAUUUACAUGAGCCAUCACAAUGAUGAGAGACAUAUUCAAAUGAUCAGACUAUUUAUCUCUGCCACCCAUGCUCUAUGAAAACAAUGAUAGUGUUCUAUUUAUCAAUAUUAUUCAAAAAAGUAUCUAGUGUCAUCACCAUACAAAACCUUUAGAUUUAAAAAAUGUUUACACAAUGUUUACAAGGUACACAGGAAACACAAUCUGUUAUGUGUUAUUUUUACUCGUGACCCCAGUUCAUGAGGGAAAAUUAAUUAACAGGUCUCAUCUUUAUACAACAAAUAUUUGUAAAAAAAAAAAAAAAAAAAAAAAAAUUGAAUAAAUAAAAAGGAUUCAUGUCAUUAACCAUGUUUUUCAUCUUUCACCUACAUAAAUCAUCAUUUAAAAGAAUAUUGUUUAUGUUUUUUUGAAAUAUGGCAGUUUGUUGUACUUGGACAAAUACAAGAUGGGUUGUGUUGCACUACUUGGUCUCAGAAACCACAUGCUAAUGCCUGUCAUCAAACAAAAAGUGUCAUAUGGAACAUCUGCCUUUAUAAAUAUAGUUACCAACAAUAAGAAAUAGGACAAAAAUAACUGAACUAGAAUGUGUGUUAUGGCCCAGAAGUUCCUCUUUCUCUUAUUGCACAUCCCUUCUUUCUCUUUAUCUCCAGGACUGGGUUUAAGCAGAGCUUUCAGCACUCCUAAACUACAGGCAGUGAUGAACAAGAGGCAGAUUGUGAGAAGGAUACUGUAGACUUUCAGUGGGAUUAGUGGAAAAGUGAAAAUGGCAUAUGCUCCAAAAGACCAGGUCACCAGCCAGGCCAUCACAACACACACGCAUCUGAGCCUCAGAGUGCUGAACCUGUGGAAAACCAUGGGAUAGACGACAGCAACGAGGCGCUCCAGACAAAUCAAGCAGUUCAUUAUGGGCCGUCCAAUUAGAUAUUUCCCAAGCAAGAACAUAGCUAUGUACAUGGUCCAGGAAAUUUCAAAAACAAGUGAAAUAAUACUCAUAAAAAAGCCUAAGAAUGCGAUAAUCUCCAUUACAGACAAGACAACUGUAAAGUAAUCAGUAGGUGGAAUGCCCUUCCCUUUAGUCAGCUGUUUGAAGCACAUGAAAAGGAUCCAGAAAUGUAAAGGCAAAAAGAAAAUUACGUCUAGAAGUAAAGAGCUCAGUGCUAUGAUAAUCCCUGGGUAAGAGUCAAAACAUUCAUAAAGGCAGGACGUUCGGUUGACAGAGAUAGUGGUGUUCAUGUUUUCAUCCAAACUGCUUUUGCCAAAACCUAAAA